GACGAACGCUGGCGGCGUGCUUAACACAUGCAAGUCGAGCGGUAAGGCCCUUUCGGGGGUACACGAGCGGCGAACGGGUGAGUAACACGUGGGUGACCUGCCCUCAGCUCUGGGAUAAGCCUGGGAAACUGGGUCUAAUACUGGAUAUGACUCCACGGUGCAUGUCGUGGGGUGGAAAGCCUUGUGCGGCUGAGGAUGGGCCCGCGGCCUAUCAGCUUGUUGGUGGGGUGANGGCCUACCAAGGCGACGACGGGUAGCCGGCCUGAGAGGGCGACCGGCCACACUGGGACUGAGACACGGCCCAGACUCCUACGGGAGGCAGCAGUGGGGAAUCUUGCGCAAGUGGGACGAAAGCCUGACGCAGCGACGCCGCGUGA
rnacentral:rRNA from 1 species